AAUAGCUUAAAAUACUAAAAUAACUACGAACUAACAACAUAAAUGCCAAGAAACAAGCUAACUAAGUCGUAUAAAUAUGCUCCUAUCAGCAGUAGAGGAGGAGAAACUGGUUCGGGUGUUGAAAGAGCACAAAACAGCCAUUGGAUGGACUUUGGCCGACAUUAAGGGAAUUAGCCCUAUAACUGAUAGGAGCAUAUUUAUGCGACUUAAUUAGCUUGUUUUCUUGCAUUUUAGCUAGUUUCUACUUAUUAUAGUGAUUUAAGCUAUUUUCGUGUGUUUGUAGGUCCAAAUGACAAAGUUGGCAUGAAAGUGCAAUUUGGAGCAGUUUUGGGCCAAGAAUGGAUAGCAUGCGUGGGGAGUACUUUGGAUGGACAAUUUUGAAGUUCAAGAACUAGGAAUGUGUUAAAGAUCUGGAAUAAAUGAAUUCAAGACAAAGAAGAUAAAGAACCAGCUAAAAGGAAGGAACACUAUCCAAAACCUUAUCUUAUCCAAACUAACCUUAUCUUAUCCUAUCUUAUCCUAAUCUUAUCCUACCUUAAUUCCAGCUGCAAGGGGGACUCCUUAUUACAUUAGAAUACCUAAUAUCUGAUUCUAGAAGCCCUGAAACAAUGCAAAUAACCUGAUCUAUUUUUCCCCUAGAAAUUUGAUGAAUUUAAUCCUUUCUUUUCUAGAAACCUACCGUGUAUCCUACUCCCUUUCAUCCUAUGAUUGUGCAAUCCUUUUUCCUUCAGAAAUUGUGCAAACCCUAGGCCUAUAAAUACAUAUUUAUCACCACAAUUUUUUUGGACCACACACACAAGAGAAAAAACAUCAGAAAAAUACAAUUGUGCUGCAGAUUUGCAAGGAAAGAAUGAGAGGAGACCUUUUGCCAUGCCCUGCCAUUCAAGCUUGGAUUGCAGGACGUUCCUAGGCGUAUUCUAUCCAUAGUUUUAGUUCAAUGUCUAAAUUAGAUUGGUUUCGUUUAAUUGCAAAUACUAAAUUCGUUUUAGUUAGAGGUGUCAAAGCCAUGAACAUAUAUAUGAUAUGAAUUGAUUACAUCCAGUCAUGAUUCCAUGAAUCGUGAAUGCAAUUUACUUAUCUGUUUGAUUGAUAACUAAUUCUUGUGUGUUGAUUGUGGGUGCACACUUAGUUUGCAUGCAGGGAUUUGAUGCUAGAAUAUAAGGGAAAUUCACCUAAUUGUUAUGAACUUAUAUUCACAAGUAGUAAAAGUCACCAGUCAUGAUUGUGUUAAGUAAAUUCUUGGCAAGAGUAUCAUGCAAACGAAUGUCUUGUCAAUGCUUAUGAUUUUCAUAGAACUUAAUGAUCUUUGAUAUGUAUCUCUAUUAUGCAGUUCAUGUAGGGAACUUGAUAAGAAUAAUUUGGUUGCAUCGCUGAGUCCAAUUCAAUGAAAUUAGGAAAAUCUGAAAGUUAAUUUGUGCUUCUCACGAUUAAUUUGGGGCAUUGUCAUUCAUGGUUUAUAGGAAGAAUAACUGGAAAUCGAUUUGUAUGCAUAUGUGUCAUGUGUGGAGAAGGACCCUCUAACUAGCCAUUCACCCUUUAAAUCACCAAUUUCAUUUAAAAUUACUUAAGAGUCUUAAAUCUGUUUGCUUUUAGUCUUAAAUUUGUCAAAAACAAACCCCUUUUUUGUUUAGUGUUUUUAGGUUAGAAUCUUUCCAAACUAGGUUCUUUUGAGUGUUUUGAGUCAGUAUUAGUUAGAAUUAGUCCAUAAACAUUGUCUUGAGUCAAGGUAAGUUCAAUUUUCGUCCAAAUUACAUUCUAGUUUUGUUUUGAGUCACUUUAGCUUAGUUUGUGUGUUUUGAGUCAGUUUAGUCAAUUUUGAGUAGUUUGAGUCUAGUUUUCUGUUUUAGAGUCUACUUUUGUGUUUUUGAGUUUCUUUUGCGUUGAUUAGCAUCCCUAACUAAUCCCCAGCCUAAAAUGUUCCCUACUUACGUGUACUACAACUAUCUUAAUUGGGUUUAAUUUGUGUGUUUUCAUGGAUGAUUUUAAUGUCUUCGGUGACUCUUUUGAUGAUUGUUUAACUAAUCUCACUCUGAUAUUGGAAUGCUGCAUCGAAACUAACCUUGUUUUAAAUUGGGAAAAGUGUCACUUCAUGGUAAAACAAGGCAUAGUUUUAGGUCAUAUAGUUUCAGAAAAGGGAAUUGAAGUGGAUAAAUCUAAAAUAGAUCUUGUACGCUACUUACCCUCUCCCUCUUCGGUGAGAGAGGUUCGUUCUUUCCUUGGACAUACAAGAUUCUAUAGACGUUUUAUCAUAGAUUUCUCAAAGAUUUCAACACCCUUGUGCCGACUUCUACAAAAAGAUGUGCCAUUUAUGUGUUGAUGAAGAAUGUGAGAAGGCAUUCAAUCACCUCAAAAAAUGCUAACUUCGGCACCUAUCAUUGUUCCACCAAAUUGGAGUCUUCCUUUCGAGCUUAUGUGCGAUGCUUCAGAUUAUGCCUUAGGGGCUGUUUUGAGACAAAGAAAGGACAAGCAGCCGCAUGUCAUCUAUUACGCUUCUCGGACCUUGAAUGAUGCUCAAUUGAAUUACUCUACCACUGAAAAAUAACUCAUUGCUAUUAUGUUUGCUUUAGAUAAGUUUUGUUCUUAUUUACUUGGAACUAAAGUUAUAAUUUACUCUAAUUGUUGGAGAUAUGCCCUGAAAGUCAAUCUUUGGAAGAAACCUUUCAGGACAAUGUCUAUAUGUAUGGAAAGCUUUAAUACAUCAAAAGGCAAGUCACUCAUUAGGACUAUCUCAAUAAACGAUAUACGUCCUAAAGAGUGAAUCCAUGGACAAUGGAUCGAUGGAAGAAGUAAUCUAAUGAUGUUAGAUUGCAGAGACCUUCUUCAUAUAACCAUGAUGUCCAAAAAGGUUCUUGGUCAUAGGAUUGUCGGAGGGACAUUGACAAUACAUAGACCAGUACAUACUAUGUCCUCUUCCAAUGGGAAGGAUGGAAAGUCUCAUGCCAUUCAUGUAGUGAUACUAAGAAAAGUAUGUAGGUGCUCAUUAUGGGAAUGAGUUCACCGAACACAAUCAAACGAGAGUACUUGCAUAGAGGUCUACUCACAUGUCAAGCAAGUAACUCUAUUGGUUGGAAUAAUGUAAGUAAUCCUUUGACCUGAGACAUCAUAGUUGUCUUGGGGAUACGUUGCUGAUCAUUUGAUAAUGAGACGUGACCAUAUCUCAUCUUGGAUGUGUUCUAUGCAUUGUUGGGGUCAGUGAUUUAUUCUCAGAGGCAUGUGAAUGAUCAACAAGGAAUCUCUAAUCCUCGUUAUGAGAGGAUGAAUACUCUAAGAUAUGAUUCAGGAAUCUUCGGCCGAAGUAUCGAGUGUAAUGAUGGAAAGCGUUCCUAUACAACUCAAUAGAAUCAUAUAACUUGAUAUAAUCACAUUAGGGGUUUGACAUAAAAUAUCCAUACCCUAGUAAUGUGACUGUGAGUAUUGUAUUAGAGAAGGAUCGAAUUACAUUGUAAUUCCAACUGAAUAGGUUCUCCGAACAAAUUCUACAUUAGCUUGGGUAGCCAUGAUAUAUGGUUAGAUGUCACUCAUGGCUUGUGAGUUCUUCUAGAUGAUUAAAUAAGUAUUCAUCAAAGAAGAAGGAGAAUUAAAAGUAAGUUUUAAUUCACUAAGUGAUUGGAUAAAUAAUAAUCAAUUGGAUUGAUACCAAUCACCUCACUGCCUUGCUAAUUAGAACCUAAAAUGAUUGUACACCGAAACACUCUUGUGGUGAGACAAGUAAGGAUGAUGGAAUUAAUCAAUUGGAUUAAUUAAGUGUUAUGAUUAAUUAGAAAGUCUAAAGAAAUCAUAUAAACGAUAAAAGAUCGUUUAGGACUUCAAGAAAAGUUCGGGUUCAUUCGGGCCCAUUGGGCCCAAACGAAUUGGGUCCUUUUAUUCAAGCAUAUUAUGACUUGAGAUGAUGAAAGCCCAAAGUCCAAACCCACACUAAGGGGGCCGGCCAAUACAAGUGAAAAGAGAGAUAAGGGAGUCAAGUGGUUGACUCACUUCUUUGACCUUUAUAAAGGAAGUUUAGUGAAAAAGUUUCAUUAGGGUUUUUGUGUGUUCUUUUGAACAAGAGAAAACAAAACUCUAUCUCUCUCUACACACCAUAUAGCCGGCUACCAUAAGGGAGAAAUAGCUAAUCAUCUUUUCUCCUUUUUGGUUAUUCCAACAUCCAUCUCACUACACUAGUGGGUGUGGAUCUUUAGAGGUCUUCUACUUUGGAGACUAGAGGGGAAUCAAAGGAGCUCUAAAUCUAUCAAGGUGGAGGAAACAAGGAGGGAGGCUAGACUCAAGGAGUUCUAAGAACAAAGAGCUUGGAGGUGGUCCAUCCUUGGUCUCAAGUCUAGAUCAAGAGGUAUUAAACUAUACCUUCACUUUGUUCUUCAAUAUUUUUUUAGAUGCAUCAUAUAUGAACCUAUGCUUCUUGAAGGGGAUUUGCAUGACUAUAGCUUUGAUAUUAUGUGAUAACAUGCUUCCGUUGCAAAUGUAUAUAAAUUUUGAAUUGUAUAUGCAUGCUAGUCACUAGAAAUCCCAUAUAAAUCUCAUUAUUUCCCUUCACUAACCACGCAACUUUGAAGUACUUACUUACAAAGAAAGAAGCCAAGCCAAGGCUUAUUCGCUGGAUGCUUCUUCUCCAAGAGUUUGACGUAGAAAUUUGAGACAAAAAAGGAAGCAAGAAGACAGUGGGACCAACUUGGAAGGACUGGAGCUUGCGUUUGAAUGAUGCAUUGUGGGUGUAUCGUACUGCUUACAAAACACCAAUUGGAAUGUCUCAUUUUCGGCUCAUUUAUAGGAAACCAUGUUAUCUUCUAGUUGAGUUAAAGCAUCGGGCACAUUGGGCAGUCAAGACUUUCAACAUGGACAUUGAUGCUAUUGGUCUUUAUAGGAAGUUACAAUUGAAUGAGCUUGAGGAAAUUCGGAAUGAGGCUUAUGAGAACGCUUAUAUUUACAAGGAGAAAACAAAGGUUGUCCAUGACAAGGUGAUUCGUAGUAGGAAAUUUUCUGUAGGGUAGAAAGUGUUACCUUUCAACUCCCACCUUCGAUUGUUUCCAUGUAAGUUGCGUUCUAAAUGGAUUGGUCAUUUUGUUGUUACUCAUGCCUUUCCCUAUGGUGCAGUCCAAAUUCAAAGCUUAAAAACAGGACAUGAAUUUAAAGUGAAUGGACACCGUUUGAAUCCUUUCUUUUUAUUAUUUUGAUUUAAGCUAUUUUCAUGUGUUUGUAGGUCCAAUUGGCAAAGAUGACAAUAAAUGGCUAAAUGGAGCAAUUUGGAGCAAUUUUGGACUUGGAUUGGAUAGCAUGUGUGGGGAGCACUUUGGAUGGACAUUUUUGGUGUUUAAAUAAUGCUAGAAAUGUGCUACAAUCUGGAGUAAUUAAGAGUGAGGUUUGGGAGACAAGGAAUCAUAAAUUAAAGGGAAACACAAACCUUAUCUAC
rnacentral:lncRNA from 1 species